rnacentral:lncRNA from 1 species
CCAUAAUUUUCAUAUUGAAAUUCACAACCACACUUUCAUUAACAUCAUAACUUAUAGUAUAUUUACAAUACUAUUUACAGCAUAAAAAUCUCACACCUAUCUACACUAAGACAGGGUGCACAAAAGGGAUGGGAUCUCAAUCCACAUCUAGGUUGUACUCAAGAUCCCUCUCUGGAUCAUCUUAUACUUCAAAAUACUUUCUCCCCUUCAGGUUCUUCCUCCUCAGCUUUUCCUCAGGAUCCUGAAAUGGUUAUUCAAUAACCAAUGAGACCACGUCUCAGCGAGUCCUACCCCCUAAGACUCGAUUAAUAAACUAAUACGCCAUACGGUUGCCUAAGCACAACACGAGUUAGAGGACUUACCUUGGCCUCAGUUCCAACCUGCAAUUCAAGGUUAAACACAGAUAUUCAAACAAUUCACGACAUCCGAUCAAGCACUGGCCAAUCGACUAAGUCGAUUACAUGUCAGUCAGACCCUCUCUGGGUCAUUCCCACUCAUACCACAAUUUCCCAAUGGUGUACUCAUUCACCAAAUCACAUGUGUUUCUCGGGCGUCGUUUUCGCCAAUGACAUACCGAUCACCGACACCGUGCGUUCUUUAAGGCGCCGUUUUCACCAGUGAUAUCCUCGAUCACCGAACCACGUGUCCUUUCUAGGGCGCCGUUUUCUCCAAGGUGACAUCAGCUAUAGACAACAUCGUGAGUUCUUUAAGGCGUCGUUUUCACCAGUGAUAUUUCCUUAAUCACCGAACCACGUUUGUCUAUAAGUCAUUUACGUGCGUUCUUUAAGGCGUCGUUUUCGCCAGUGAUACUUCCAAUCACCGAACCACGUAUGUCCAAUAACAUCGUACCUGAUUGGUCUCAGCCAAUAAUGUUCUCAGUUAGCUCUCAUCAUUCUCUCUACUAUAUAGCCCAUCAACGUACUGGCGCUAUAUAUCCAUGCUCGGCCAUUACCAAUCAAAUACUCAAUAAUAAAUAAUUUGGGACAAUUCCACAAAUUUCACAAUUUAAAUCAAUUCCAUAAAAAUUGAAGCUCAAUUAAAUGAACGGACUGCACCACGACAAUCGGCACGAAAUUCCGGUCACCGGCCAUCCCGGUUGAAUUUCCGGAAAAAUAAUUAAUUAAAUAAUUAAUUUCGAAGAAUAAAUAAAUAAAUAUUAAAAAUCCAAUUUAGGCCCAUAUUGCCUUAUUGGAGCCCGAAACGGGUCGGGAAAAAUCCCGAGAUGCAUUCAAUAAAUAACCAAACAUUUCUACUUGCUAAUAACUAGGUCUAACCACCUAACAUGCAUCAUUGAGUCACUAAAUUAAUUGUUCUAACCUAAUCUAACCACCUAAGUGCAUGUAAUUAAAUCUAACCAACCCUAAGGCAUAAUUAGCAAAUUAAUAAAGCAUUAGUGAGUAAAACUCACUUGAUUAAAAACAGGGACCAAAUCACCGCAACGGCGACGCGACGGCGGCCGAAAUCGGACUUUCGACAACACCGGCGAACUUGGACCGGGCCUCGACCUUGGCUCAACAAAUCUCAGCCCAAAUGAGAUUUGUUCUUGCGCUAGACUGGGCUUCCUUUAGAUUGGGCUGAACUUGCUGGGCCUCGUUGAAACUAAACUGAACUGGGCUGCAAGAUGUGGACUGGGCUUCAAUUGCUUUGCUGGAAGAUUGGGCCUUAAACUUUCAGUUGAUGGGCUGCUGGAGAUUUGGGCCAAGCAAGUUACAAAAUGGAAGCUGGGCUGAUCAGUGGACUGUACCAAAAGGCCCGAAUUGUUGCUGAAGAUGGGCCCUGCUGGACUGGGCCUGUCUUCGCUGGGUUGCACUCUGCAAACCGAAGCUGAAUCAAAGGAGCUGGCGUCGAUGAAGGCUUGCUGGGAUCUUCGACGGUUGACCUGGGGAAGCAGAAUCGCGGACAGCUGGCCGCGGAUGGAGAGAAGAUGGCGCUCGGUGGAAACACGAGAUGGCGGAGACGAAUUUGCUGGCUCAGUUACCGACCGAGGGGGACGCCAGGCAGAGACGUGCGGACGAUGGAGCAGCUUCGUGGACGUUUAGCGGUCAACAACCGAGAGGAUGGAGCUGCUUCGUUGACCCGUGAAGUGAGCUGGCGUUGCUGGCUUCGUGAAACUGGGACGCGGAGGAAGAUUGGUGGAGUGGAGUCAACAAACCGGUUCGUGUGCUUCGAUGGUUGACCGAGGCGAGGAGGAGGUGGACGCGUGGAGAAGAGGGCGCGGGCUUCGUGGGCAUGUGUUGGACGAGGCAACGGCGUGGCACGUGAAGCUGCUGGAGAUGAUGCAGCGAUCAACAAACCGACUGGUUUGACUGGGGAACAAAAUAUGGUAGAGGCGUGCUGGUAGAAACCGUGAGAGAUCUUCGGACGUGGCAGCUGCAGUUCCGGUGGCCACGAGCUGGAGAAGACCACACGGAUGCUUGCUCGAGUCUUCAGCGUUGAGGAGUUUGACCGAGAGAGGGCGGCAAAGGAGAACUCGGUGGAUGUUGAGCUAAAAUCGUGAGGAUUGGGAGGUCAAAAGAAAUGGCUUCUUGUGUUGAUGAAGUUGACCGAACAGCUUUAUGGCGUGAGAGUUCGAGGGGAUGAAGAGAAAGAAAUCGAGAGAGAGAUGGAGUUGCGGAGGGGGAGUCGGCAAGUGAUGAAGAAGACCGAGGAUGGAGCUCACGAAAAUGGAGAAGUUUUGGACGGCAGCUUAGUGAGAGGGAAGAGAGAGAUGGAUAGAGAUGAGGUUGAG